UAACACAUGCAAGUCGAGCGGAAACGAGUUAUCUGAACCUUCGGGGAACGAUAACGGCGUCGAGCGGCGGACGGGUGAGUAACGCGUAGGAAUUUGCCUAGUAGUGGGGGAUAGCCCAGAGAAAUUUGGAUUAAUACCGCAUACACUCUACGGAGAAAAGAGAGGGACCUUCGGGCCUCUCGCGAUUGGAUAAGCCUAAGUGAGAUUAGCUAGUUGGUGAGGUAAGGGCUCACCAAGGCGACGAUCUCUAGCUGGUCUGAGAGGAUGAUCAGCCACACUGGAACUGAGACACGGUCCAGACUCCUACGGGAGGCAGCAGUGGGGAAUAUUGCACAAUGGGCGAAAGCCUGAUGCAGCCAUGCCGCGUGUAUGAAGAAGGCCUUCGGGUUGUAAAGUACUUUCAGCAGUGAGGAAGAUAGUAUGCUUAAUACGCUGUUGCCGUGACGUUACCAACAGAAGAAGCACCGGCUAACUCCGUGCCAGCAGCCGCGGUAAUACGGAGGGUGCGAGCGUUAAUCGGAAUUACUGGGCGUAAAGCGCAUGCAGGUGGUUUGUUAAGUCAGAUGUGAAAGCCCGGGGCUCAACUCCGGAAUUGCAUUAGAAACUGUUUAACUAGAGUACUGUAGAGGAAGGUAGAAUUUCAGGUGUAGCGGUGAAAUGUGUAGAGAUCUGAAGGAAUACCAGUGGCGAAGGCGGCCUUCUGGACAGAUACUGACACUCAGAUGCGAAAGCGUGGGUAGCAAACAGGAUUAGAUACCCUGGUAGUCCACGCUGUAAACGAUGUCUACUUGGAGGUUGUGGCCUUGAGCCGUGGCUUUCGGAGCUAACGCGUUAAGUAGACCGCCUGGGGAGUACGGUCGCAAGAUUAAAACUCAAAUGAAUUGACGGGGGCCCGCACAAGCGGUGGAGCAUGUGGUUUAAUUCGAUGCAACGCGAAGAACCUUACCUACUCUUGACAUCCUCAGAACUUUCCAGAGAUGGAUUGGUGCCUUCGGGAACUGAGUGACAGGUGCUGCAUGGCUGUCGUCAGCUCGUGUUGUGAAAUGUUGGGUUAAGUCCCGCAACGAGCGCAACCCCUAUCCUUGAUUGCCAGCGAGUAAUGUCGGGAACUUUGAGGAACUGCCGGUGAUAACCGGAGAAGGUGGGGACGACGUCAAGUCCUCAUGCCUUACAGAUAGGCUACUACUGCUACAAUGGGCGCAUACAAGGGCGCCACUUGCGAGAGUAGCGAAUCCAAAAGUGU
rnacentral:rRNA from 1 species